GUCAGCGACCAUACCAAGUAGAAAGUACCGGUUAUCGUCCGAUCACCGAAGUUAAGCUACGUUAGACCCGGUUAGUACUUGCAUUGGUGACCGACUGGUAAUACCGUGUCUUGCUGUCA
rnacentral:rRNA from 1 species